CGUUUGACCUCGGAUCAGGUAGGGAUACCCGCUGAACUUAAGCAUAUCAAUAAGCGGAGGAAAAGAAACCAACAGGGAUUGCCCUAGUAACGGCGAGUGAAGCGGCAACAGCUCAAAUUUGAAAUCUGGCUCUUUUAGAGUCCGAGUUGUAAUUUGCAGAGGGCGCUUUGGCUUUGGCAGCGGUCCAAGUUCCUUGGAACAGGACGUCACAGAGGGUGAGAAUCCCGUACGUGGUCGCUAGCUAUUGCCGUGUAAAGCCCCUUCGACGAGUCGAGUUGUUUGGGAAUGCAGCUCUAAAUGGGAGGUAAAUUUCUUCUAAAGCUAAAUAUUGGCCAGAGACCGAUAGCGCACAAGUAGAGUGAUCGAAAGAUGAAAAGCACUUUGGAAAGAGAGUCAAACAGCACGUGAAAUUGUUGAAAGGGAAGCGCUUACAGCCAGACUUGCUUGCAGUUGCUCAUCCGGGCUUUUGCCCGGUGCACUCUUCUGCAGGCAGGCCAGCAUCAGUUUGGGCGGUGGGAUAAAGGUCUCUGACACGUUCCUUCCUUCGGGUUGGCCAUAUAGGGGAGACGUCAUACCACCAGCCUGGACUGAGGUCCGCGCAUCUGCUAGGAUGCUGGCGUAAUGGCUGUAAGCGGCCCGUCUUGAAACACGGACCAAGGAGUCUAACAUCUAUGCGAGUGUUUGGGUGUCAAGCCCGAGCGCGUAAUGAAAGUGAACGGAGGUGGGAACCCGCAAGGGUGCACCAUCGACCGAUCCUGAAGUUUACGGAAGGAUUUGAGUAAGAGCAUGGCUGUUGGGACCCGAAAGAUGGUGAACUAUGCUUGAAUAGGGUGAAGCCAGAGGAAACUCUGGUGGAGGCUCGCAGCGGUUCUGACGUGCAAAUCGAUCGUCAAAUUUGGGCAUAGGGGCGAAAGACUAAAUCAAACUUAUCUAGUAACCUGGUUCCUGCCGAAGUUUCCCCUCAGGAUAACCAGUUAAC
rnacentral:rRNA from 1 species